UACAGAGGGUGCGAGCGUUAAUCGGAAUUACUGGGCGUAAAGCGCGCGUAGGCGGCUUUGCAAGUCGGGUGUGAAAUCCCCAAGCUCAACUUGGGAACUGCAUUCGAGACUGCUUUGCUAGAGUAUGGGAGAGGGAAGUGGAAUUUCAGGUGUAGCGGUGAAAUGCGUAGAUAUCUGAAGGAACAUCAGUGGCGAAGGCGGCAUCCUGGACCGACACUGACACUGAGGAGCGAAAGCCAGGGGAGCAAACGGG
rnacentral:rRNA from 1 species